rnacentral:lncRNA from 1 species
GGCGAGGGACGCGUGCCUCGACAUCUGUGAUGGCGUCUGCUGCUGUCGCGCUCUUUGUCUCUGACGAACUGAUGGAGGAAGGAGACACGGGAACGGCGUCUACAGGCAUGGGUUGCACGCGAGGGAAGGGGUUUGGGCCACGCAGGGGGAGGAAGCCCACUAGUGGCGCCACAUAGAAAGAAAUAAAGCCCCUGGGUUUUCUAAUUUGAAUCAAACAGAGAAAAGAUUUAAAACAAGGGCAAAAUUGAUGGAGUUAAAAAUAAAAUAAAAUACCCCUGGUCAUAAGGGAAUUAUGACCCAUUUAAAUAAAAUAGAAAAGAAAUAUUUGGAGCAAUUAAAUAUUUACAAAACAGCAUUAAUGGAUCUGUUUUGUAUUUAUUUACACCACUAAAACACAGCCUCAAAUCACUAAAUGCAUAUCAUCACACUCA